AUUGAACGCUGGCGGCAUGCUUUACACAUGCAAGUCGAGCGGUAACAGGCCGCAAGGUGCUGACGAGUGGCGAACGGGUGCGUAAUGCAUCGGAACGUGCCCAGUCGUGGGGGAUAACUACUCGAAAGAGUAGCUAAUACCGCAUACGAUCUAUGGAUGAAAGCGGGGGACCGUAAGGCCUCGCGCGAUUGGAGCGGCCGCUGUCAGAUUAGGUAGUUGGUGGGGUAAAGGCUCACCAAGCCAACGAUCUGUAGCUGGUCUGAGAGGACGAACAGCCACACUGGGACUGAGACACGGCCCAGACUCCUACGGGAGGCAGCAGUGGGGAAUUUUGGACAAUGGGCGCAAGCCUGAUCCAGCAAUGCCGCGUGCAGGAAGAAGGCCUUCGGGUUGUAAACUGCUUUUGUACGGAACGAAACGGCUCUGGUUAAUACCCGGGGCUAAUGACGGUACCGUAAGAAUAAGCACCGGCUAACUACGUG
rnacentral:rRNA from 1 species